CGGUAAUACGAAGGGACCUAGCGUAGUUCGGAAUUACUGGGCUUAAAGAGCUCGUAGGUGGUUAGAAAAGUUGGUGGUGAAAUCCCAAGGCUUAACCUUGGAACUGCCACCAAAACUUUUUGACUAGAGUAUGAUAGAGGAAAGUGGAAUUUCUAGUGUAGAGGUGAAAUUCGUAGAUAUUAGAAAGAACACCAAUUGCGAAGGCAACUUUCUGGAUCAUUACUGACACUGAGGAGCGAAAGCAUGGGUAGCGAAGAGGAUUAGAUACCCUCGUAGUCCAUGCCGUAAACGAUGUGUGCUAGACGUUGGAAAUUUAGUUUUCAGUGUCGCAGCAAAAGCGUUAAGCACACCGCCUGGGGAGUACGACCGCAAGGUUAAAACUCAAAUGAAUUGACGGGGACCCGCACAAGUAGUGGAGCAUGUGGUUUAAUUCGAAGAUACGCGCAGAACCUUACCAACACUUGACAUGUUCGUCGCGACUCUAAGAGAUUAGAGUUUUCGGUUCGGCCGGACGAAACACAGGUGCUGCAUGGCUGUCGUCAGCUCGUGUCGUGAGAUGUUGGGUUAAGUCCCGCAACGAGCGCAACCCUUACUUUUAGUUGCUACCAUUUAGUUGGGCACUCUAAAAGAACUGCCAGUGAUAAGCUGGAGGAAGGCGGGGAUGACGUCAAGUCCUCAUGGCCCUUAUGUGUUGGGCUACACACGUGCUACAAUGGUACUCACAGUGAGAAGCGAAGAGGCGACUCUAAGCCAAUCCCAAAAAAGUACCUCAGUUCGGAUUGUACUCUGCAACUCGAGUACAUGAAGCUGGAAUUACUAGUAAUCGUGGAUCAGCGCGCCACGGUGAAUACGUUCCCGGG
rnacentral:rRNA from 1 species